GUUUUGAGACGGGGGGUUUAGUGGCGAAGAAACAGAAGAGCAAAACAUCUGCAGCCUUUACUGGAGAAGAGCUGUAUUUACUCAGUUAUGAUAAAUUGGUCAAGGGGUUGCCACUUAGCCCGGAGGAAGAAAAGCACAUGUGACACUGGAUCCAUGCAGGGCUAAUGGUCAUUACCCGAGCAGACAAGCCGCCCUCUCUCCGCCACCCUCAGACCUGCUGCUGGAGGUUCAGAAACCCACUUCCUGGUAAUUCGUCUCAAGGACUUCUCAAACACAGCCCUGGGUGUUCCUCCGGGGAAACAAAACAUGCUGGAGAGAGGAAGGGAAACGGUAGCUUAAUGUGAUAUUAGGACAACAACAACUACAACAAUGCCUGGAAAGUUCACCUACUGGGCCGCAUUUGGCUAUGAUGUAUUUCCAGUCAUUUAGGAGACCUACAGGUGCCAGGAAGUACGCCUCAGGCACCCUGUGGCAUUCAUUCAGAAAUGUGCUAAUGUAAAUGCAUAGGAAAAUGCAUGAUACAUGUGAAACUGAGUAAAUACAUGUAUAUGUAUUUGUGAAUGUUUUAGGUGUUUUAUGUGAAGCGUGUUUGACUUGUGCUGUGCCCUUACUGUUAAGUCUGUUUGGGGAAAAAUAAAAGACAGAUAAAAUGUGUAUUUUCUGCCACAUUUCUACUUCAGUUAUUCUUUGAUCUUAUUGCAGAGGAAAAGCGGACUUUAUGCUUGAAUGUGUUUUGGUGUUUUGUCACCAUCAUAUAUGUCUGUAUAUGUCAUAUAUGUCUAGAGGUUAUAAGUCUCAGUCUCAGGUAAAAAUGUGAUUUGUUUUUUUAACAGAGCACAGGGCUUUAAAUUCUAGAGCGGGUGAGUGAAUCUCUGCUCCCAACCAGCACAGAGAAAGAGCACAAGUGGCACCUAGUGGACUGCAGCAGUGCUGCACCCUGACGUGAAGAGAGGAGGUUUCAGGCAUGCCUUGCUUUCUCACUCACUGACUUGGUGACCUGAGCAAUAGGUCUAAGGUCUCUUGUUGUAAGUCACAUGUUAAGCUUGACCUUUAUUCUUGUUCAGGACAGUUGUAAAGUACU